AUUGAACGCUGGCGGCAGGCCUAACACAUGCAAGUCGAACGGAGUGGCGGACGGGUGAGUAAUGUCUGGGAAACGGGCUGCUGGAGGGGGAUAACUACUGGAAACGGUAGCUAAUAACGCAUACUAGCAGAUGAGCCUAGGUCGGAUUAGCUAGUUGGUGGGGUAAAGGCCUGCCAAGGCGACGCGCAGUAACUGGUCUGCGAGGAUGAUCGUUCCCACUGGAACUGAGACCCGGUCCAGACUCCUCCGGGCGGCCUCCGUGGGGCGUAUUGGAACAUGGGCGAAAGCCUGAUCCAGCCAUGCCGCGUGUGGGAAGAAGGUCUUCGGAUUGUAAAGCACUUUAAGUUGGGAGGCGUUACCAACAGAAUAAGCACCGGCUAACUUCGUGCCAGCAGCCGCGGUAAUAC
rnacentral:rRNA from 1 species